rnacentral:rRNA from 1 species
AUUGAACGCUGGCGGCAGGCCUAACACAUGCAAGUCGAGCGGAUGAAGGGAGCUUGCUCCUGGAUUCAGCGGCGGACGGGUGAGUAAUGCCUAGGAAUCUGCCUGGUAGUGGGGGAUAACGUCCGGAAACGGGCGCUAAUACCGCAUACGUCCUGAGGGAGUACGUGGGGGAUCUUCGGACCUCACGCUAUCAGAUGAGCCUAGGUCGGAUUAGCUAGUUGGUGGGGUAAAGGCCUACCAAGGCGACGAUCCGUAACUGGUCUGAGAGGAUGAUCAGUCACACUGGAACUGAGACACGGUCCAGACUCCUACGGGAGGCAGCAGUGGGGAAUAUUGGACAAUGGGCGAAAGCCUGAUCCAGCCAUGCCGCGUGUGUGAAGAAGGUCUUCGGAUUGUAAAGCACUUUAAGUUGGGAGGAAGGGCAGUAAGUUAAUACCUUGCUGUUUUGACGUUACCAACAGAAUAAGCACCGGCUAACUUCGUG